UGGGGGAUAUUGCACAAUGGGCGAAAGCCUGAUGCAGCGACGCCGCGUGGGGGAUGAAGGCUUUCGGGUUGUAAACCUCUUUCGCUAUCGAACAAGGCCCGCUUAGGGUGGGUUGAGGGUAGGUGGAGAAGAAGCGCCGGCUAACUACGUGCCAGCAGCCGCGGUAAUACGUAGGGCGCGAGCGUUGUCCGGAAUUAUUGGGCGUAAAGGGCUUGUAGGCGGCUUGUUGCGCCUGCUGUGAAAACGCGGGGCUUAACUUCGCGCGUGCAGUGGGUACGGGCAGGCUUGAGUGUGGUAGGGGUGACUGGAAUUCCAGGUGUAGCGGUGUAAUGCGCAGAUAUCUGGAGGAACACCGAUGGCGAAGGCAGGUCACUGGGCCAUUACUGACGCUGAGGAGCGAAAGCAUGGGUAGCGAACAGG
rnacentral:rRNA from 1 species